UUUUUUUUUUUUUUUUUUUCAAUUCAAAGAAUUGGGAGAGAAAACCACAAAGCAAGGGUCUGUACUCUCAACUAUGUACACAACAAGGCAAGUAUUCAAUCCCUAAAAUAUUAGUCUAGUCCAAAUACAAUUCUAAAUUCUAGAAAGAAAAUAUACUACUUUUAUCUAUACUUAUAAGCUAAUGCUAUAACAUUAAAGCGGAUCCUAAAAGCUUCAAUGUUCAUUUUUUGAACACUUAGUUUUCCAUUUCACCCUCUAAUGGCCACCUGAACUUGCCAUAUCUCAAGCUUACAUCUUAAGAAAAAAAAAGGAUGUGAAGGAAGUCUAGGUUGAAGAUAUUGUGAAGAAUUUUAGCUAUUAACAAUAAAUUUUGUAAAAUUUUCCAAAAUUAAGCUGACGCAGGCAGCUGAGUAAAUUGAAGGGAGUAAAUCUGUGGUUAUGAGCUGGGUUAUACGGAUAUAUACAUACCUAUUUAACCCAAAUCAACCUUAACCCUUCCCAUAUACUUAAUUAGUGAAGAAUUGGAUGAUUUCAAUGCUUCAUACCACAUUUUCUAUCCACAACCCAACUCAUGAACAGAUUUGAGUCCGAACCCAAGCUAUCCAACCCCCAGAUUGACUUUGAACUUUUCUUUUCUUCUCUUUUCUUUUCAUUUCAUUUAGAAAAAAACAAGCAUUUUCUUAUUUUUCCCUCACAAAUUUGUUGAAUGCUAAUCAACUUGAUUUUGAACUAAAAUGUCUUGGUAUCAAAACUGCUCUAACAUAUUCAUGAAUUGUGCCACCAAUAAUUUUCGAAGUCCUCACCAUUCCCAUACCACAAAUCAUUUUACCAAUUUGGAAUUAGCUCCAGUAAUGCACAAAAUUCUAUAAGCUACUCUGUUUUACAUACUAGGAUUCUAGGAACACAAAGCUGAGACUGAAAAGUGAAAAUGAUAUAGAAUCUUAACAGUUCAG
rnacentral:misc_RNA from 1 species